AGUGAACGCUGGCGGUAGGCCUAACACAUGCAAGUCGAACGGCAGCACAGUAAGAGCUUGCUCUUACGGGUGGCGAGUGGCGGACGGGUUAGGAAUACAUCGGAAUCUACUUUUUCGUGGGGGAUAACGUAGGGAAACUUACGCUAAUACCGCAUACUACCUACGGGUGAAAGCAGGGGAUCUUCUGACCUUGCGCGAUUGAAUGAGCCGAUGUCGGAUUAGCUAGUUGGCGGGGUAAAGGCCCACCAAGGCGACGAUCCGUAGCUGGUCUGAGAGGAUGAUCAGCCACACUGGAACUGAGACACGGUCCAGACUCCUACGGGAGGCAGCAGUGGGGAAUAUUGGACAAUGGGCGCAAGCCUGAUCCAGCAAUACCGCGUGGGUGAAGAAGGCCUUCGGGUUGUAAAGCCCUUUUGUUGGGAAAGAAAAGGAGCAGGUUAAUACCUGGCGGUUAUGACGGUACCGAAAGAAUAAGCACCGGCUAACUUCGUG
rnacentral:rRNA from 1 species